rnacentral:rRNA from 1 species
CGCCUACGGGGGGCAGCAGUGGGGAAUAUUGCACAAUGGGGGAAACCCUGAUGCAGCGACGCCGCGUGAGCGAUGAAGUAUUUCGGUAUGUAAAGCUCUCUCCGCAGGGGAGACACUGACGGUACCUGACUAAGACGCCCCGGCUCACUACGUGCCAGUAGCCGCGGUCAUACGUAGGGGGCAAGCGUUAUCCGGAUUUACUGGGUGUAAAGUGCGCGUAGACGGUCCUGCAAGCCAGAUGU